CGUGACACAACUCCGGCUCCAGUUGCAGAAGACAGUAAUCGCCGGCAUCGAUCCGCGGACUGAAACUGAGGCACUGCACCGUCGGAAGCAGUUCCGAUGGGUUUAGUUUAGCGACCUCCAGCGUCGCAUCGACCUCCUCGCGGCUUCGCAUCCUCGUGGGGGGCCAGAAGAGGAGAUGAAUCACAAAAUAAUAACACACUGCAAGAUUCAAACAAAACAAGGAACCGAGUGAAGGAAGCUAACUGUGAUCAAGGUCUUCUGCCUUACUCCCGUCCUGUGCAAGAUCAUGGCCAAUGUGUAUGUUAACAGGGCAAUAUUCAACACAAGAAAUGAUAAGAUUUGUAUAUGGUUGUUUGGCAGUGGUGAAAUCCAAAUUUUUUUACUAUCAGUUAUGUGGGCGUGGCUUGGUGGGUGUGGUGUGGCUUGGUGGGCGUGGCAGGGGAAGGACACUGCAAAAUCUCCAUUCCUACCCCACUCCAGGGGAAGGAUACUGCAAAAUCCACAUUUCCUCCCCACUCCUGGGAGAAGGAUAUUGCAAAAUCUCCAUUCCCACCCCACUCUGGGGCCAGCCAGAGGUGAUAUUUCCCGGUUCUCUGAACUACUCAAAAUUUCCGCUACUGGUUCUCCAGAUCCUGUUGGAUUUCACCCCUGGUUGUUUGGUUUCAAGGGCAUUAGAGGGAUCUUAUUUGAGAAGCUACUUGAAUGACUUUUACAGUUAGUCCUCAACUUACAACUGUAAUCAAGCCUGUAAUUUCAGUCAUAAGUUGUGAUGGUCAUAAAGUGGGUCACCAUGUAACCAGUCCAGUUUUGCAACCAUUAUGCAGUGGUGAUCCCUGCAGUCAUUAAGCAAACUCAUUGUCCCCUGUGGAGUGUUUCUUGCCAGGACCUGGGUAUACAGUAAUGCUAAAGUGUGGCGAGGGCCCCCCGCAGCCCGUUUUUGCCCCCAGGAGGCUGCAGGGAGGCCUACUAGGCCCAAAACGGGGCACGGGGGGUGCCUCCCCCACAGCCUGUUUUUGCUCCCAGGGGGGUGCAGGAGGCCAAGUGCUGCCUGUCACACCCCCUGGCCACGCCCACCAUGGCCACACCCACCUAGCUGGUCAUUAGGGCAGAGAACCAGUUAAAUUAUUUGAAUCCCACCACUUUCAGACCUGCAAGAUUAUUAGUGUAAUCUUACAAUAAAGAUCGAACUAGUGCUUUGGUUGAUGGCUUCUCAUCUGAUCAGGCUUCAGGUUUUUAUGAGACCCACUUCCCAAUGUCACCUAAACUCAGAGAGAGAUGCCCUGCUCUUGGCCUGCGGUUGGAUCAGUCUUGCAGUGGGAUGAUUAAAAGCAGAUUCUUGUCCAUGAUGGAUUGCAACUCUUCAACUUGGGAGCUGCCUUCUGUGAGAGACACAAUCUCGCUUCAAAUGACAAGUGAGGUUUUUAUUCAUUCACACGUUUGCACGGUAGCUAAGCACUCUGUUACAGGACAUAGCUGUAGACUGUUCUUUAUUUUAAUGAACCUUAUUUCAUUUCCGUAAGCCUUUUAUGGACACAGCAAGACAGCAAUCUUCACGGUUUCAUUCCAGAUCAUUUUCAUGCUUCUUUUGUAAGAAGCUGUGGGCUCUUCAGAAGGAAAAGCAGUUGAAAAAGAUAAAAAAAAAUGUUUUCUUGUU